AUGUUGACAAAUUUGAUCACAGCAGGGACUGACAAAGUUAGUACAAUCCUCACUGUUGGACAUAUAUUUCAAGGUAAAAUUAAACUUCAAGAACAUGAUCAAGCAGGAGCUUCAUGCAACAUUGGAUGUGAGAAGCUAUGGUGUAGAACCACUGCCGCCUCCACUCUGCCCUGCCCCUCUGCACUGUCCUCGACAACCAUGCGGGCCACCUUGCCGCUCGCUUCGCAAGCAACCACUUCAUCCCCAACCUUCCCUCCCCAGGUUCAGUCCUUCAUCCCCAACCUUUUUCUAGAUAUAUGGAUUAGAGAAAUUCAUGCUAAGUAUUGA
rnacentral:rRNA from 1 species